rnacentral:lncRNA from 10 species
CAGCCCAUGAGGUUUGCCAGGUUGGGCUCCCUGGCUUGUGGCUGCAUUACAUUUUUAUAAUUCUGUCAUGAUUCAGAGAUGUUAAGUAAGUUGGUGCUUGAGAUAGAAAGGUUUAGGACAAUCUUAUUUAACCAAUGAGGCCCAGCUCAGUGGGUAAUUGUCAGCCCUUCUACCCAGCUCCUGGGGUUUAUCGCCUCAGGCAUGGCCCUGGUAUCUGUGUGCAGAAGCACACCUGUCAACUCCUCUUUCCCAUCUUAGCAACCUCCUUCCUCUCAGGCCAAUUCCCAGUGCUAAGAACCUGGUUACCCUUCCUCCUUGUGUUUCCAGCAGCUACAAUAACAAAUUGUCACGAAACAUUAUCCUCUCACAUUUCUGGAGGUCAGAAGUCCAAAGCCAGGCUGGCAGCAGGGCUGCGCUCCCUCCAAAGGCUCUAGGGGAGAACGCUGUCUUGCCUCUUCCUCCUCCAGCCUCUGGUGACUGCUGAUGUUCCUUUGCUUGUGGCAGCAGCAUCCAAUCUGUGCUUCUGUCCUCACCCAGCCUGCUUUCCUGUGUGUGACUCUGUGUUCUUUUCUGUCUCUGAAUAGAACCUUCUCAUUUAGGGCCCAUCCUAAUCCAGCAUGAUUGUAUUUCAAUCUUUACCCUCAUCAUGUUUUAAUGACCUGACUUUCAAAUAGGGUCACAUUCUAAGGCUGUGAGUGACAUGACUUUGGAGUGGACGUCAUUCACUCCACCAUACUCAUCUACUUUAUCUUUGUCAAGACUUCAAUGCAAACACAUCUACUUCUUAUACCCCCUGUUUUACCUCCUUUUCCUAUUUUCAACUCCCCAUUCCUUUUUUCCUCAUUUACCCCUUUAAGAAUGACUUAUAAUUUGUGUGCACAAGAUUUGACAAUUCUGCAUUUCUGAAGAGAUGUACAAAGGACCAACACCCAGCAAACUUUGGAUGAUGUCAAUAAGGUGAUGUUCACCAACAUCUUCAACAGCGGGCUGAAAGCCAAGCAGACAUGGUCACUCUGCAGUCCUCUGGAAGGCCCAAGAGAGCCCUUGCCUGCUACCUGAAUAGAUGAGGACCUCCGGAGCUACCUGGCCUUUGUGGAUUCCAGACCUCCUGCAUCAGCCGAGCUCCAGGAGAGCCCCAGCAGCGCUCUCUUUUCCUGCUGCCUCGGUGCUCAAGAUGAUGGUCUUUUUGAGUGUCCAGCUGAUUCUGUUGCUCACUUACCAUUGUGUGGGUGCCUCUCUCAUCCCUUGCCCAAGGAAAGCCUACACUUUGAGGUUUUGAAUCUCUCUCAGUGACCUUCAAGGCACUCCCUCCCAGCUGCCUGUGGCCCAGGCUGAAACACAAUGUUUCAUGUGGUUUCAGGGAUGAGGUCACACCCAUUUUCUUUGCAAUAUCCUUAACAAAUUUUCAUUUGCGGGAAAUAAAGAGUAGAUAGGAAAGCAGCCUUUUCUUUCACAUCAUUUCUCCUUAUUCUCUUUUCUUUUUCGUCUUCCUGGUUUUUCUAAAUUCCAACGCCAUCUAAUGAAAAGGGAAAAUGUUACUAAUAGCAAUUUAGCUUAAGUGCAUUGCUUUUAGUAGCCAUGGGGACAAAAAUAUCAAAGAGCCAUAAGUUAAUAGGAUUCAAGAGUAGAAAACUUCUGCAAAGCUACAGGGCACAUCCUGAUGAUACCAGCACAAAGCUGAUGUCCCUUUUCUGCAGAAGAUACACAGUACAGGUGAGCCUGCAGGUCACCCGGCAGCCCUAGAGCAGUAGAAGUAUGUAUCAUGUUAUUAUGUCUGUAGUCCAUGCUGGGGCCUGGGAAGGAGCCAGAGACAGCAUGUUCCCUUUACAUUCCAUGUUUGCCAAAAAGACCCUCUCCACAGCUUUCUCCCAGGGCCUGAUCUAGAAAACCCAGAGAUCCUUAAGUUCCACCCAUCCCUUGCCUUCAGGCUAACUGCUGCUAGAGUAAGAAAAAUGUCCCUGAAUGUGCCUCGUCUCCUGCUGGGAGUAUCACUUGUCAGUCAAAUCAGGUGAAUUAGCAUUUUGUCCCGAUUUACUUUAGAAAAGAAAAUGAAAACUAUCUCUAGAUGCAUUUUUGUAUCCUUUGCUUUGUGUUGUCAAUAAAGAGCUAA